GUCAGGAUGGCCGAGCGGUCUAAGGCGCUGGUCUCAAGUACCAGUCAACAUUUGUUGGCGUGGGUUCGAAUCCCACUCCUGACA